UGGUGGGGUAACGGCCCACCAAGCCUAAGAUCCGUACGGGCCAUGGGAGUGGGAGCCCGGAGAUGGACCCUGAGUCAAGGGUCCAGGCCCUACGGGGCGCAGCAGGCGCGAAACCUCCGCAAUGCGGGAAACCGCGACGGGGUCAGCCGGAGUGCCGAUGCUUGCAUCGGCUGUCGGGGAGCCUAAAAAGCUCCCCAUAGCAAGGGCCGGGCAAGGCCGGUGGCAGCCGCCGCGGUAAUACCGGCGGCCCGAGUGGCGGCCACUAUUAUUGGGCUUAAAGCGUCCGUAGCCGGGUUGGUUAGUCUCCCGGGAAAUCUGGCCGCUUAACGGUCAGAAUUCCGGGAGAUACUGCCAGCCUAGGGACCGGGAGAGGCCGAGGGUAUUCCCGGAGUAGGGGUGAAAUCCUAUAAUCCCGGGAGGACCACCUGUGGCGAAGGCGCUCGGCUGGAACGGGUCCGACGGUGAGGGACGAAGGCCAGGGGAGCAAACCGGAUUAGAU
rnacentral:rRNA from 1 species